AGCUAAGUGUACUCGUGACCCUACCAGCACUUUUCAAGAUACUUUCGACGUAUUCAUUGCGGUGAACAACGCGGUUGGGACAGCACACUCACGACGUGGGAAGGUCACAGAAAUGUUGAAAGACAUCAGAUGUGUGGAAACGUCGUAGCGGAUGAAUGUGAAUUAUGGAUCUCCAAGUGGCGUCGCCCGCGUCAUUUUCAAGAUUUUACCCGUUU